GCGGGAGUAGCUCAGUUGGUAGAGCGGCUGAUUUGUAAUCAGCAGGUCGCCGGUUCGAGUCCGGUCUCCCGCU
rnacentral:tRNA from 1 species